rnacentral:rRNA from 1 species
UGGGGAAUUUUGGACAAUGGGGGAAACCCUGAUCCAGCCAUCCCGCGUGUGCGAUGAAGGCCUUCGGGUUGUAAAGCACUUUUGGCAGGAAAGAAACGUCGCGGGUUAAUACCCCGCGAAACUGACGGUACCUGCAGAAUAAGCACCGGCUAACUACGUGCCGGCAGCCGCGGUAAUACGUAGGGUGCAAGCGUUAAUCGGAAUUACUGGGCGUAAAGCGUGCGCAGGCGGUUCGGAAAGAAAGAUGUGAAAUCCCAGAGCUUAACUUUGGAACUGCAUUUUUAACUACCGGGCUAGAGUGUGUCAGAGGGAGGUGGAAUUCCGCGUGUAGCAGUGAAAUGCGUAGAUAUGCGGAGGAACACCGAUGGCGAAGGCAGCCUCCUGGGAUAACACUGACGCUCAUGCACGAAAGCGUGGGGAGCAAAACAGGAUUAGAUACCCUGGUAGUCCACGCCCUAAACGAUGUCAACUAGCUGUUGGGGCCUUCGGGCCUUGGUAGCGCAGCUAACGCGUGAAGUUGACCGCCUGGGGAGUACGGUCGCAAGAUUAAAACUUAAAGGAAUUGACGGGGGUGCAUAGCU